GCCCGCACGUACGAGGGAGGUCUCCUGCCCUCGAGCGAGAAAUAGUCGCACGCACGACUCUCUGCCCUCAUUCGCCCGCCGCCGCCCUCCAUCCCUUCGCCGCCGCCGCUCCAUCCCUUCGCCGCCGCCCUCCCACAUCAAAGCCGGCGCCGCUCCAUCCCUUCGCCGCCGCCUCUCGAUCUUCUGCCUAGGGUUCCCCGCCGCCGCUACCCCUCCCUCGAGCGUGGGCGGCCACCGGCGAAGGAUGCCCGCUCCCCCUCCUCUCCGGCCAGACCGGUCUCCCCCCUAACCACAAAGUGGGCGCACGCGGUGCGGGCUCCGGCGAACGCGGCCGCACGCGAUCCAGAGGCCCGGCGGCGCCCACAUCCCUCGCCUCUCUGGUCACACGUCGCCUCCCUAACCACGAAGUGGGCGCACGCGGGGUGGGAUCCGGCGAACGCGGCCACGCGCGAUCCAGCGGCCUGGCGGCGCCCGCAUCCCUCUCCUCUCCGAUUGCAUGUCUCCUCCCUUCCUACAAAGUGGGUGCACGCAGGGCGGCCACUCCGCCAACCGACUCCAGGAGCUCUGCUUUCGCAACGGCAACAUCUACAUCAAGCUCGGCCAGCACAUCGCACAACUGGUACGGAAAGGAAUUCCUAACUCUGUGAGGAUACGCCUGAAUUCACUUUGGAUUCAUCUGUGGUAAGAUUGCAUAAUUUUGUGGCUGUGGAACAGCUGCUUGUUUGCUUGUACUACCACAGGUGUAUGUGCAGACGAUGAGGGCGCCGAUGCUCAAGAGGUCGUCCGCGGAGUCAUCAAGAAAGAGAAUGGAGAAUUGCCACAAACUCUUAGUUCCUUCAUUGCAUCACGGCAUUGUCUUACACCUUUCUGAACUAACUUCGUUGUUGUAUUGAUUAGCAAAACCAAACAAUCAGACUGAGUGUGCUUAGUUCAGUUGUUGGCCAACAGAGUAUUCACCUUGAAUCAGAACCUGGAUUUAUGCUCAGCUUGUUUUUAGCUUAGAAGAAACUCUGACAUAAAAUUUGGCUUUCCCCUAUUCCCGUUGGUGUAGGUUUUUGCAUAAUUCUUCAUUGUCCUGCUUGCAAGUGCUUUUCUUGUGCAAGUCCAUGCGUCCACAACACAUGAUGGGAAAAAAGUUGCUGUCAAGAUUGUUGUUAUUAUAUAAGAAAAGACUGCAGUUCAUUCGUUCACUUAUGUUAAGUUUGAACUCUUCAAUUAUGACAGCAGAGUUCACCAGCAUGUUGUCUGUCUUUCACUUUUUUGACCCCUGUUUUGGCUUACAGGUUCAACACGACCACUUGGUGGAUACUUCUGUAAUAGAUAUCACCACUGUGGAUUUAGUACUGAAUUCUCUUCAUUAUAUUUUCCCUAAUUUUGACUACAGGGUAUUAUUUGAGCUGAUAUGGAGGGACUACUUCAGAUUUCAUCCAGCAAAAUAUGGGAACUCUAUUUUCUUACUAGGUAAAUAAAAUAUAAAUUUUUAUCAUUCUGAACUUUUGCCUUUCAUGUAUAUUACCGAAAGGAUGCACACAUGUUUUUCUUCUAAAGAAAUCUGCUGUGAUCAUUAAUUCUGAAAGAAAUCUGAAUAAUUGCCAGAGUGAGGAGGAAAAAGCAAGAAAAUUCUGAACAUUUUGGUCAUGGUCUUGGAGGAUGAUUGCUGGUGCAGUGCUCACUCAGUGCUCUAAUUUAGCUUAUUCGAGCUGUAGGUCUAGAUUAAUUUUUAUCUUAAUUGGAUGUCAAACGAUGAAUCAAACAGAGUUGGGGUUCAUCCAGGCUACAUAGGUCUGAUUGUAUUAGUGUCAGUUCCUUGAAGUCAAAGUACUACUAUGAUCGAAGAUAAAUACUUUUGAAGCGAUCGCCAAAGUGAUAGAAGACAAAAUACAAAUUAAAUCUUAAUGCGUACAUGUUUUAUUUGCUCCCAUGUAUUUGUUUGCAUCGUGUAUUUGUUUUACUUCAGAGAUGUGCUCCCUUUGUUGUUGGCUGUCGAAUUUGUGUUGCAGUUCAUACCCACCACGUUCGUGUCUUCACCACUUCGUCCUCCAGCACAAACGCCAGAAUGGAGCAAAAGCUGUGAUUUGCCAUGUCGGUAAACUGAUCCAGCUCGCGGCCAUGGGGUGCUAUGUCCGCGCCGGAGAACUGAUACAGCUCGCUGCCAGGGUGCCAUCCCUCUUCUGGCGUGCCAUAAAGCCCCUCGAUCGAAUCUCUGACUCAGCAAAUCAAAAUUGCCGACCCAGCCAAUCUCGUCGGAACAUCAUCUAGCUUGCCGUGCUCCACUCACUGUAAGUUUGUGUCAGUUUACAUGGCACUUAUCUCUUCUGGCUCACAGACACCUUCAAUGGACCUUUGCCACUGCUAACAGUCUGUAUUGUACACUCCGGGACCAAGGCGAUCGACAUUUUCUUGGCUGGUCGAUGGUGAUUGCUCCCAUGUCUGUUUUUUUGUUCUUUACAGAAUUUGGUUCUAUAAUAUCAUCAUUUAGUGAAUUUUACCUACCUACACAAACAUGAUAUGACAUGCUAUUGCCUGUUCUCUAAGGUAAUGUAUAAAUUUGUUGCUUAGUUAGGAAGAGGUUGAAUCGUGUUGGAUUUGCAGCGAGAGGAAGCCUGUCAACAUGAUGAACAGGGUAGUUUUUACUGAGGGUAGCUCGGCAAGGAAGAGACGGGAUGUUUGUCAUUGACCUACUUUGAAAACGAAGGCUAAAACCGCAGUGGCAGACAUGCUUACAAAAUCUUGUGAAGAUCGUUCUGCUGAUGAUGGUACUCUAACAGAAUAAGAACAGUGGGAAAGAGAGCAAGCCAGCCUUGUUCGUUAUUGAGAGGGGGAAGUUGAAAUCUUACCAGAUAAAGGGCGUUAAGUGGCUAAUAUCACAGUGGCAAAAUGGGCUUAAUGGGAUACUGGGUGAUCAAAUGGGCCUUGGAAAAACAAUUUAGACAAUUGCAUUUCUUGCUCAUCUUAAAGGGAAUGGUCUGUAUCGUCCAUACAUGGUUAUUGCUCUUCCUUCCACCCUGUCAAACUGGUUGAACGACACAAUGAGGUUUGCUCCUUCUCUAAAUGGUCUGAUUUAUCAUGGAGAUAAAGUGGCUCGGACAGAGCUAACGAGAAACUACAUGCCCAAAACUGUUGGUCCUGGUUUUCCGAUAAUAAUCACUUCAUAUCUGAUGGCCAUGUUUGAUGCAAAGUUUCUUGCUAAUUAUAAGUGGAAGUCACAUGAUCUGAAUUAUUGCCCUUGUAAGCAAAAACUCAACAUUUUAUUCCUUUCUCUUGAGUGCAUUCCUCAUUAUUUAAUCAUCGAUGUCCAUAUGCUAGCUUCAUGUUUCAGUCAUAAUUCCUUUCUCUUCGAGGGAAUUUAUGGCCAGGUGCGCUCAUAUACUUCUAUCUUCUAAACAUGCUUUCAUAUGAAUGAGCUGAAGUCAUUUCCUAGAAACUAUGGUGCUUUUACUUUUUAUUUAGGUUGCUUGACCAAGGUUGUUCAGUGAUUGUGUGCACUCCACAUGCAUCGCCAUUUAUCGAAGGACCCUAUUGUGUGACAACAUUGAGACACAACAUGGAGCAUUGCAACUGUCACAAUGACAUUGGAGGCAAGGGAAUAUUUUAACUCGGUGUUAAAAAUAUGAAAGGGAAAAAAGAGACGACAUCACAUAUUAUGACCAUGGAAAUUGCUACGGGACAUAGCUCGGCAAGAAAUGAAUUUUAUUAUGUUGUUGUCAUCAGAUGGUACCUCGGUGAGUAAGUUGAUGAUAGCCUUCUAAUCAUGGGUGUCAAGUCCAAUCAAAUCUGGUUGAGGGCCAUCUUAUUGUGCUCAGAUAUGGAAAGAAUCCGCAGCCGCUCCGUUGCUACUAUUGUUGUCGGCACUUGAUGCAGAGGGGUGAAUGAAAGGAGAAUGUGAAUAAGGAAGAGUGCACGGCAAAGGAGUGGUCCAUACCUUUUUUUAUCACAAUGAGGGAGUUAACCCACACUAGAUCCAUGAUUUGUUGAAUGGCGGUUGUCUGGUUUGAGCUGAUAGACAGUUACCAUGGAGAGCGAGGCGGUGUGGGGCACCUCGUGGAUGACCUUGUCUAUGCUUCAUAACCAAAACAUAAUCUUCUUUUGGUUAUUUCAUUUUCUCUGGGAUUUGUCCCCUUAUGCUUCUCUUAUUGCCUCAAUAAAGUUUGGUGUUAUGGCAACUCGCGGGCACAUACCUUGACACGAGUCUUUUUUUAUUUUAAAAGAGGCAAAAGGAUCGCAUGAUAUAUAUCAUUUCAUAUAACUUGGCAGCAAAAACACACUGUGGUGGUCGCCCUCAGCUACAGCGAUGUGCAUUCCUUGGCACCGGGAAUUGGGCUGGGACGUCGUGGAGAGGAGAGGAGGGGGCGGGCGACACAGUGGAGGGAAGGAGAGAUGGCGGUGAGAGGAAGGUGUGGGAUGAAUGACAUGGCGUCGAGGGAAGGCGGCAGCAAAAAGCCGUGGUGGGGAGAGAUGGCGGCGUCGACACGGUGACGUGGAGAGCAGUCCGGGGGAAUGAGAUCUGCAUGUGUCGUGCGGUGAGAGUGAGAGAGUGAACUGUUUUGUUUAUUAUAAGAUGAGAAGAAAAUAUGUUGUCGUUUGUGUUUUUAGGGGAAAAUAUUUGUUUGCUGUGAGAGAAAUAUCACUUGCUCAAAGCGAGCAGCUGACAAAUGAAUAUAUAUUGUAUAUGGGCUUAUCUGAUUUUUUCAAAUAUGUGUUUAUAUAUUCCCUUUUGUAGAUUGGAGAUAAGAACUAUGACUUCGGAUGAUGCUUUGAAAGUGUCAACUCACAAAGCUUUAUGA